ACCCGCUGAACUUAAGCAUAUCAAUAAGCGGAGGAAAAGAAACCAACAGGGAUUGCCCUAGUAACGGCGAGUGAAGCGGCAACAGCUCAAAUUUGAAAUCUGGCUCUUUUAGAGUCCGAGUUGUAAUUUGCAGAGGGCGCUUUGGCUUUGGCAGCGGUCCAAGUUCCUUGGAACAGGACGUCACAGAGGGUGAGAAUCCCGUACGUGGUCGCUGGCUAUUGCCGUGUAAAGCCCCUUCGACGAGUCGAGUUGUUUGGGAAUGCAGCUCUAAAUGGGAGGUACAUUUCUUCUAAAGCUAAAUAUUGGCCAGAGACCGAUAGCGCACAAGUAGAGUGAUCGAAAGAUGAAAAGCACUUUGGAAAGAGAGUCAAACAGCACGUGAAAUUGUUGAAAGGGAAGCGCUUGCAGCCAGACUUGCUUGCAGUUGCUCAUCCGGGCUUUUGCCCGGUGCACUCUUCUGUAGGCAGGCCAGCAUCAGUUUGGGCGGUAGGAUAAAGGUCUCUGUCACGUACCUCUCUUCGGGGAGGCCUUAUAGGGGAGACGACAUACUACCAGCCUGGACUGAGGUCCGCGCAUCUGCUAGGAUGCUGGCGUAAUGGCUGU
rnacentral:rRNA from 1 species